UUUCGGUUGGGGAUGGGCUCGCGGCCUAUCAGCUUGUUGGUGAGGUAAUGGCUCACCAAGGCGUCGACGGGUUGCCGGCCUGAGAGGGUGACCGGCCACACUGGGACUGAGACACGGCCCAGACUCCUACGGGAGGCAGCAGUGGGGAAUAUUGCACAAUGGGCGCAAGCCUGAUGCAGCAACGCCGCGUGAGGGACGACGGCCUUCGGGUUGUAAACCUCUUUUAGCAGGGAAGAAGCGAAAGUGACGGUACCUGCAGAAAAAGCGCCGGCUAACUACGUGCCAGCAGCCGCGGUAAUACGUAGGGCGCAAGCGUUAUCCGGAAUUAUUGGGCGUAAAGAGCUCGUAGGCGGUUUGUCGCGUCUGCUGUGAAAUCCGGAGGCUCAACCUCCGGCCUGCAGUGGGUACGGGCAGACUAGAGUGCGGUAGGGGAGAUUGGAAUUCCUGGUGUAGCGGUGGAAUGCGCAGAUAUCAGGAGGAACACCGAUGGCGAAGGCAGAUCUCUGGGCCGUAACUGACGCUGAGGAGCGAAAGGGUGGGGAGCAAACAGGCUUAGAUACCCUGGUAGUCCACCCCGUAAACGUUGGGAACUAGUUGUGGGGUCCAUUCCACGGAUUCCGUGACGCAGCUAACGCAUUAAGUUCCCCCGCCUGGGGAGUACGGCCGCAAGGCUAAAACUCAAAGGAAUUGACGGGGACCCGCACAAGCGGCGGAGCAUGCGGAUUAAUUCGAUGCAACGCGAAGAACCUUACCAAGGCUUGACAUAUACGAGAACGGGCCAGAAAUGGUCAACUCUUUGGACACUCGUAAACAGGUGGUGCAUGGUUGUCGUCAGCUCGUGUCGUGAGAUGUUGGGUUAAGUCCCGCAACGAGCGCAACCCUCGUUUUAUGUUGCCAGCACGUAAUGGUGGGAACUCAUGGGAUACUGCCGGGGUCAACUCGGAGGAAGGUGGGGAUGACGUCAAAUCAUCAUGCCCCUUAUGUCUUGGGCUUCACGCAUGCUACAAUGGCCGGUACAAAGGGCUGCAAUACCGCGAGGUGGAGCGAAUCCCAAAAAGCCGGUCCCAGUUCGGAUUGAGGUCUGCAACUCGACCUCAUGAAGUCGGAGUCGCUAGUAAUCGCAGAUCA
rnacentral:rRNA from 1 species